AUUGCGGCGACGUGAGCGGUUCGCCGCCCGCGACGUCGCAAGAAGUCCACUGAACCUUAUCAUUUAGAGGAAGGAGAAGUCGUAACAAGGUUUCCGUAGGUGAACCUGCGGAAGGAUCAUUGUCGAAUCCUGCAAACCACCGUGAACACGUUUCGAAAAACAGCGGGCCGUCGGCGCGCUCCGGUUCGCCGGCGCCUGCACCUAACCAAACUUCCGGCGCGGAAUGCGCCAAGGACUACUUAAAACGGAUYGUCCGCGUCCUCCUUCGGAUUCCGCAGGUGGGGCGCGGGGCUUCUGAAUCGUAACCAACACGACUCUCGGCAACGGAUAUCUAGGCUCUCGCAUCGAUGAAGAACGUAGCGAAAUGCGAUACUUGGUGUGAAUUGCAGAAUCCCGUGAACCAUCGAGUUUUUGAACGCAAGUUGCGCCCGAAGCCAUCAGGCUGAGGGCACGUCUGCCUGGGCGUCACGCAUCGUCGCCCCCCCCUCGCCGCGUUCCGGCACCACGAGGCGGGUGACGGAUGUUGGCCUCCCGUGUCCCCGAGGCGCGGCCGGCCUAAAUCCGAGUCCUCCGUUCGGGACGUCACGACAAGUGGUGGUUGAAAACCUCAACUCGAUCGAAGCCGUGACCGAGACCGUGCGGCAUAGCUCAUGCAAGACCCCGGAGCCUUCGGGCCCUCGACAAUGACCCCAGGUCAGGCGGGACUACCCGCUGAGUUUAAGCAUAUCAAUAAGCGGAGGAAAAGAAACUAACAAGGAU
rnacentral:sRNA from 1 species